UAUUGGACAAUGGGGGCAACCCUGAUCCAGCCAUGCCGCGUGUGUGAAGAAGGCCUUCGGGUUGUAAAGCACUUUCAGCGGGGAGAAAGGCUUCGGGCUAAUACCUUGGAGUACUUGAUGCUACCCGCAGAAGAAGCACCGGCUAAUUUCGUGCCAGCAGCCGCGGUAAUACGAAAGGUGCGAGCGUUAAUCGGAAUUACUGGGCGUAAAGCGUGCGUAGGCGGCCACUUAAGUCGGAUGUGAAAGCCCCGGGCUCAACCUGGGAGGUGCAUCCGAUACUGGGUGGCUAGAGUGUGACAGAGGGAGGUGGAAUUUCCGGUGUAGCGGUGAAAUGCGUAGAGAUCGGAAGGAACACCAGUGGCGAAGGCGGCCUCCUGGGUUAACACUGACGCUGAGGUACGAAAGCAUGGGGAUCAAACAGG
rnacentral:rRNA from 1 species